AAAAGGGAGUGAGAGAUCCACUUCAUCCUUACAACAGACACCAAGUGAAAGGUACCUGACUGAACCCUCUGGAGACCAAGAAUGGAGUGAGAGAUCCACUCCAUCCUUACAACAGACACCAAGUGAAAGGUACCUGACUGAACCCUCUGGAGACCAAGAAUGGAGUGAGAGAUCCACUCCAUCCUUACAACAGACACCAAGUGUUCCGAUCCUGAAGAAACCUUCUGAAGAUAAAGAAAGGAGUGGAAGAUCCACUUCUUCCUUACAACAGAUGAAGUAACCACGAGUGAUGACGAUUUGAGCAAAGAAACCAAUGCUGACCUUAAUCAAGAAACAGCGAUUCUCACUUACACAGAAAAUGGCUCAAGCUCUGAGACCUCUGGGAACCCAAGCCAUGUAUAUGCGCCAUCCACAUCGGACAACAUGGAAGGCACUUCUGCUUCAACCACCUAUGACAACACUGAAGACAGUUUUGUCGCAACCCUGGAAAACAUUUUUGCUCCAACCCAUUUAGAGAACGUGGACGACACUUCCUUCUCAACCACACGGGACAACAAAAACACCAGUUAAAGUGGGAAUAAGAGACGCACGUGGACAGAUGAUGAAGUGAAGGCUGUUGAGCGACAUAUGUUUGAUUUCAUAACAAGCCAUAAAGUUUCAGGUAAAACGAGCUGUGAGUCCUGUCUCCACGCAGAGCCAGCAGCUCUGAAAGACAGAGGCUGGGUGUCCAUCAAAAACUACAUCCACAACAGGAUAUAACUGCAUUAAAAAGGGAAAUGAAUAGCUAGUCCAUUGAAAUGCGAGCACGUCUGGGUACAUUUCAGUUCAAGUUAACUAAAGCAAUAGCAAUGGUGCAUUUAGGGUGGGAUGGUCAAUUAUGGAUUUCAUAUUUGUUGUUGCAUACUGUGUUUCACGUUUGUUGUUUCAUGAUCUUCAAGAGCAAUUUGGAAAAUCCUUGAAGAUGUAUGAACAUGUAAAUUAUACUGUAUAUCAGGCAUGUCCCGAUCUGGGCCUGGAGGGCCACUGUCGUGCCUGUUUUCCAGCUCUCCCGGCUGCAUCACACCUGUUUCAGAUGAUCAGUUCAUCAGUCAUCUCUGAUGCAGCAUUAGAACAUCCUGGGAGAGCUGGAAAACAAAAAGACAGCGGCCCUUGAGGACCGACCUUGGACACCCCUGCUGUAUAUAAACGUACGUACGAUAUACAAACUUCUCACAAAA